GACGAACGCUGGCGGCGUGCCUAAUACAUGCAAGUUGAACGCUUCAUUCUUAUCGAACUUCGGUUCACCAAGAAAGAAGAGUAGCGAACGGGUGAGUAACACGUGGGUAACCUGCCCAUCAGCGGGGGAUAACACUUGGAAACAGGUGCUAAUACCGCAUAAUCCUUUUUCUCUCAUGAGUGAAAGUUGAAAGGCGCUUUUGCGUCACUGAUGGAUGGACCCGCGGUGCAUUAGCUAGUUGGUAGGGUAACGGCCUACCAAGGCAACGAUGCAUAGCCGACCUGAGAGGGUGAUCAGCCACACUGGGACUGAGACACGGCCCAGACUCCUACGGGAGGCAGCAGUAGGGAAUCUUCGGCAAUGGACGAAAGUCUGACCGAGCAACGCCGCGUGAGUGAAGAAGGUUUUCGGAUCGUAAAACUCUGUUGUUAGAGAAGAACAAGGAUGAGAAGAGAAUGUUCAUCCCUUGACGGUAUCUAACCAGAAAGCCACGGCUAACUACGUGCCAGCAGCCGCCGUAA
rnacentral:rRNA from 1 species